rnacentral:rRNA from 1 species
GACGAACGCUGGCGGCGCGCUUAACACAUGCAAGUCGAACGGAAAGGCCUGCUUUCCCUUGUGGAUUGCGGGUACUCGAGUGGCGAACGGGUGAGUAACACGUGAGUGAUCUGCCCCCAACUUGGGUAUAAGCCUGGGAAACUGGGUCUAAUUCCCGAUAGGACUGCAGGGUGGUGCCUGUGGUGGAAAACGAUUUUCUAGUGGUUGGGGAUGAGCUCGCGGCCUAUUAGCUUGUUGGUGGGGUAAUGGCCUACCAAGGCGGCGACGGGUAGCCGGCCUGAGAGGGUGGACGGCCACAUUGGGACUGAGAUACGGCCCAGACUCCUACGGGAGGCAGCAGUGGGGAAUAUUGCACAAUGGGCGGAAGCCUGAUGCAGCGACGCCGCGUGGGGGAUGACGGCCUUCGGGUUGUAAACUCCUUUCGACCGCGAGGAAGCCACCUGGUUGGAAGGGUGGUGACGGUAGUGGUAGAAGAAGCACCGGCUAACUACGUG